GAUCCUGGCUUAGGACGAACGCUGGCGGCACGCUUAACACAUGCAAGUCGAACGGAGAUAAUUUGAGUUACUUAGGUUAUCUUAGUGGCGGACGGGUGAGUAACACGUGAGCAACCUACCUUAGAGAGAGGGAUAGCUUCUGGAAACGGAUGGUAAUACCUCAUAACAUAACCGGACCGCAUGAUCUGGUUAUCAAAGAUUUAUCACUCUGAGAUGGGCUCGCGUCUGAUUAGAUAGUUGGUGAGGUAACGGCUCACCAAGUCGACGAUCAGUAGCCGGACUGAGAGGUUGGACGGCCACAUUGGGACUGAGACACGGCCCAGACUCCUACGGGAGGCAGCAGUGGGGAAUAUUGCACAAUGGGGGAAACCCUGAUGCAGCGAUGCCGCGUGGAGGAAGAAGGUUUUCGGAUUGUAAACUCCUGUCUUAAAGGACGAUAAUGACGGUACUUUAGGAGGAAGCUCCGGCUAACUACGUGCCAGCCGCCGC
rnacentral:rRNA from 1 species